AACCACACUAUCAAUAAAUAGAUUCACCCGUGAGAUGACUUGGUUGUUCCACAUAGGACAAUGACAUGCAUCCUAUUACCAGCCAUCUCACGAAAUUAAUAGGAUGCCACGUCCUCAUCCUAGGUGAAACAACCACGUCAUCUCACAGGUGAAUCCAUUCAUUGAUAUUGUGGUU
rfam:Oryza sativa (indica cultivar-group) chromosome 1, whole genome shotgun sequence.